AACGAACGCUGGCGGCAUGCCUAACACAUGCAAGUCGAACGAACCCUUCGGGGUUAGUGGCGCACGGGUGCGUAACACGUGGGAAUCUGCCCUUUGCUUCGGAAUAACAGUUAGAAAUGACUGCUAAUACCGGAUGAUGUCGUAAGACCAAAGAUUUAUCGGCAAAGGAUGAGCCCGCGUAGGAUUAGGUAGUUGGUGGGGUAAAAGGCCUACCAAGCCGACGAUCCUUAGCUGGUCUGAGAGGAUGAUCAGCCACACUGGGACUGAGACACGGCCCAGACUCCUACGGGAGGCAGCAGUGGGGAAUAUUGGACAAUGGGCGAAAGCCUGAUCCAGCAAUGCCGCGUGAGUGAUGAAGGCCUUCGGUUGUAAGACUCUUUUACCCUAGGGAUGAUAAUGACAGUACCUGG
rnacentral:rRNA from 1 species